rnacentral:rRNA from 1 species
AAAUUGAAGAGUUUGAUCAUGGCUCAGAUUGAACGCUGGCGGCAGGCCUAACACAUGCAAGUCGAGCGGUAGCACAGAGAGCUUGCUCUCGGGUGACGAGCGGCGGACGGGUGAGUAAUGUCUGGGAAACUGCCUGAUGGAGGGGGAUAACUACUGGAAACGGUAGCUAAUACCGCAUAAUGUCGCAAGACCAAAGUGGGGGACCUUCGGGCCUCAUGCCAUCAGAUGUGCCCAGAUGGGAUUAGCUAGUAGGUGGGGUAAUGGCUCACCUAGGCGACGAUCCCUAGCUGGUCUGAGAGGAUGACCAGCCACACUGGAACUGAGACACGGUCCAGACUCCUACGGGAGGCAGCAGUGGGGAAUAUUGCACAAUGGGCGCAAGCCUGAUGCAGCCAUGCCGCGUGUGUGAAGAAGGCCUUCGGGUUGUAAAGCACUUUCAGCGGGGAGGAAGGCGAUAAGGUUAAUAACCUUAGCGAUUGACGUUACCCGCAGAAGAAGCACCGGCUAACUCCGUGCCAGCAGCCGCGGUAAUACGGAGGGUGCAAGCGUUAAUCGGAAUUACUGGGCGUAAAGCGCACGCAGGCGGUCUGUCAAGUCGGAUGUGAAAUCCCCGGGCUCAACCUGGGAACUGCAUUCGAAACUGGCAGGCUAGAGUCUUGUAGAGGGGGGUAGAAUUCCAGGUGUAGCGGUGAAAUGCGUAGAGAUCUGGAGGAAUACCGGUGGCGAAGGCGGCCCCCUGGACAAAGACUGACGCUCAGGUGCGAAAGCGUGGGGAGCAAACAGGAUUAGAUACCCUGGUAGUCCACGCCGUAAACGAUGUCGAUUUGGAGGUUGUGCCCUUGAGGCGUGGCUUCCGGAGCUAACGCGUUAAAUCGACCGCCUGGGGAGUACGGCCGCAAGGUUAAAACUCAAAUGAAUUGACGGGGGCCCGCACAAGCGGUGGAGCAUGUGGUUUAAUUCGAUGCAACGCGAAGAACCUUACCUGGUCUUGACAUCCACAGAACUUUCCAGAGAUGGAUUGGUGCCUUCGGGAACUGUGAGACAGGUGCUGCAUGGCUGUCGUCAGCUCGUGUUGUGAAAUGUUGGGUUAAGUCCCGCAACGAGCGCAACCCUUAUCCUUUGUUGCCAGCGGUUCGGCCGGGAACUCAAAGGAGACUGCCAGUGAUAAACUGGAGGAAGGUGGGGAUGACGUCAAGUCAUCAUGGCCCUUACGACCAGGGCUACACACGUGCUACAAUGGCAUAUACAAAGAGAAGCGACCUCGCGAGAGCAAGCGGACCUCAUAAAGUAUGUCGUAGUCCGGAUUGGAGUCUGCAACUCGACUCCAUGAAGUCGGAAUCGCUAGUAAUCGUAGAUCAGAAUGCUACGGUGAAUACGUUCCCGGGCCUUGUACACACCGCCCGUCACACCAUGGGAGUGGGUUGCAAAAGAAGUAGGUAGCUUAACCUUCGGGAGGGCGCUUACCACUUUGUGAUUCAUGACUGGGGUGAAGUCGUAACAAGGUAACCGUAGGGGAACCUGCGGUUGGAUCACCUCCUUA